CUCUGUUUCCGGAAAGGAUUCAGGGCGGAAGGAG
rfam:Bacillus gobiensis strain FJAT-4402 chromosome.